GAGAGCUGCCCUGCAGCCAUAAAGAGCACAUCUGAGACACCGCCCUGACAUCACAGAGCCACAGAGCAAACACCAGCAAUCUGACCUCCAGACAUCUUCCGAUAUGAGAAAAAUAAGUCCUUGCUUGUUUGUGCCACUUUUAGUCUGAUUUUCUGCUACUUGAAGCCUAACCGACACAAUCAUGACUCUAAAGAAGGGAGAAAAUAAUACUAAUCAGGCCAGAAGAAACAAAAAAAGCCCUUCCUCUAAGGUUCAUUUUUGAUACUAUUAUGGAAAAAUUAUUUAAUAUCCUCAAUCUUAAGGAGAAUGGAGGUUACUGUUCUUACUAUUCAUCUCAAUUCAGAUGGUCAACGGAGACAGAAGCAAGCCCCAUACUUAACCCUGAAAAGUAGUGUUAAAAAUCUGUUUAAACUUUCCCGGCCCCUUAGCAUGUUUUUUUCCCCCUCAUUUAUCCAUGAUCCAGUUUCCUUGAUAUAUGUGAUUUGAUAUUGCCUAAUGUAACACAAGCCCCUGCACAAGGAUAGAUGUGAACAAGCGAGGGUUUUAUGUGCUGGAAACUUGGUCUCCAGUGCAGCAGUGUUAAAAGAUUGGACCUCUGGGAGGUACUUGGGCCAUGACAGCUCCGCCCUCAUAACUGGAUCAAUCCAUUUACAGAUUAAUGGUUUAUCACAGGAGUAGCUUUGUCAUAGAUGCAGCUCACUCUGGCAGGCUUGCUCCGUGACACCACGUGGUGCUCACUGCCAUGCUGUCAGAUAAGAAGGCCCUCAUCAGAAGCUGAGUGGAUGCAGGCACCAUGCUCUUCGACUUCCCAGC